CACAUUGUUUUCGGACUUUUCGCAUUUUGGAAAACAAAAGGUGAAGUUAUUUUAGAAAAAGGUGAAACAGUUCGAAGACCAUUUUAAUUAUUAGCUAAUAAGUUAGAGAUGAUUCCCUCUGAUCAUUUGUUUUGAACAUAUACGAUUUCGAAACUAUUCAGCUAACAUUCAACUCGAGAAUCCUCUAUCACUGUGUAUCAGCUGUCUGCACAACUUCGAUACAUCAUUGCGCCAUGGUUCAUUGUAAAAACAAAAUACAGACGUUUCUAGGCCCAGUGAAUCAUAUAUUUGUGAGCGAAGUAAAUGUUCUACAGCUGUAUAUUUUAGAAAAAUAAAACAUUUAUAAUGUGAAGACGUUCAACAGUCCAAAUUACCUGACACUCUCGUGCACCAUUUUCCUCCUCCGAAGAUUCAAAGAUGGGUGGCGGAUAUGAAAACCGGCGCCUUUUUGGUUUGGAUACGUACUCCUGUCCCUGUUUUGAGGAACUCCUGAAACCCCAUCCCAAGGUAUGACAUCACCCAUCCCAUGUGCUUUGCAAGUGGAAAAUUUGGGUCAGGAAACAAAGGUUAAUUUGGGCAAACACGGAAUUGAAGCAAGGAAUACUGCCAUAGGAAACGUGAUGAAGACAGAGAAAAAAGGAAACAGUUGAGAAAAGCAAGUACAAAAAAUCUCAUGUCUUUGCACUGCAUCAUCAUGUCUUACAACACUACAUUACAUUCUUCAUCAACUGAACCAUGAUCACCAAAACCAUCAGAAACCACUUCUACUGCAAGGAGUACUUAAAAAAAACAAAAACUUAAUAUCAUUCACAUCCAAUCCUCUCUAUGUCCGCUUCAAGGAAUACACCAUGCUAAAAAAAGAGUGAAUGGUAUAUAUAUAUAUAUAUAUAUAUAAACAAUAUUUUCAAAUUAAAAGGACUUAUCUAUGAUGUAUUACAAUAAUGUCUUAAAUAAAGGGAUUUACAUGCAGUGAUGGAAUCCUCAUGCCAGUUUGCCAUGGAGAGGUGUUUUCAGUUGAAAUGAUCCUCUAGCCGGGCAGAUAUGGAGAGGUGACCAAGACACAGAUUUUUUUGUUAAACUACAUUUACUUAAAGUAUCUAUGAUAUAUAAAUAAAAAUGUCUUAAAUGUAGGGAUUUACAUGCAGUGAUGGAAUCCUCGUGCCAGUUUGCCAUGGAGAGGUGUUUUCAGUUGAAAUGAUCCUCUAGCCGGGCAGAUAUGGAGAGAAAAUGGUAUACCCGGUAACACCUUGGAAUGCAGAUGAAGAGCUUUUGUCGUGACAAUCUUUUAAAAUUAUACCAGCAGAAAUUUUUGUCUUGUUUGCAUAUUUUUUAAUGCUAAGAUUCAUUAUGUCUAAAAGAGAAAUAUGUGUUACAUAUAUUUAACACGAUUUAAGCAAAAGCGAGUUGUAAAGUUUAAAGUGCUUUUGUGUCCAUUAAGUUUUCUAUGUUUUAAUGAUUACAUGAUGUAAAUAUCUUGCAGUAUACCUUGAUUUUAUCUAUAAAUUUGUCAUUUGACAAAAAAGUAAAACAAAUUUUUUUUUA